rnacentral:rRNA from 1 species
AGGACGAACGCUGGCGGCGUGCUUAACACAUGCAAGUCGAACGGAAAGGCCCUGCUUUUGUGGGGUGCUCGAGUGGCGAACGGGUGAGUAACACGUGAGUAACCUGCCCUUGACUUUGGGAUAACUUCAGGAAACUGGGGCUAAUACCGGAUAGGAGCUCCUGCUGCAUGGGUGGGGGUUGGAAAGUUUCGGCGGUUGGGGAUGGACUCGCGGCUUAUCAGCUUGUUGGUGGGGUAGUGGCUUACCAAGGCUUUUGACGGGUAGCCGGCCUGAGAGGGUGACCGGCCACGAUUGGGACUGAGAUACGGCCCAGACUCCUACGGGAGGCAGCAGUGGGGAAUAUUGCACAAUGGGCGAAGCCUGAUGCAGCAACGCCGCGUGCGGGAUGACGGCUUCGGGUGUAACCGCUUCGCCUGUGACGAAGCGUGAGUGACGGUAAUGGGUAAAGAACGCGAACCGGCUAACGUACGUCGCCGACGACACGCCGACGGUAAC